UACGAAGGGGGCUAGCGUUGCUCGGAAUCACUGGGCGUAAAGCGCACGUAGGCGGCUUUUUAAGUCAGAGGUGAAAUCCUGGAGCUCAACUCCAGAACUGCCUUUGAUACUGAGAAGCUUGAGUCCGGGAGAGGUGAGUGGAACUGCGAGUGUAGAGGUGAAAAUUCGUAGAUAUUCGCAAGAACACCAGUGGCGAAGGCGGCUCACUGGCCCGGUACUGACGCUGAGGUGCGAAAGCGUGGGGAGCAA
rnacentral:rRNA from 1 species